rnacentral:rRNA from 2 species
UGCAAGUCGAGCGGAAGAUGGGAGCUUGCUCCCUGAUGUUAGCGGCGGACGGGUGAGUAACACGUGGGUAACCUGCCUGUAAGACUGGGAUAACUCCGGGAAACCGGGGCUAAUACCGGAUGGUUGUUUGAACCGCAUGGUUCAGACAUAAAAGGUGGCUUCGGCUACCACUUACAGAUGGACCCGCGGCGCAUUAGCUAGUUGGUGAGGUAACGGCUCACCAAGGCGACGAUGCGUAGCCGACCUGAGAGGGUGAUCGGCCACACUGGGACUGAGACACGGCCCAGACUCCUACGGGAGGCAGCAGUAGGGAAUCUUCCGCAAUGGACGAAAGUCUGACGGAGCAACGCCGCGUGAGUGAUGAAGGUUUUCGGAUCGUAAAGCUCUGUUGUUAGGGAAGAACAAGUGCCGUUCAAAUAGGGCGGCACCUUGACGGUACCUAACCAGAAAGCCACGGCUAACUACGUGCCAGCAGCCGCGGUAAUACGUAGGUGGCAAGCGUUGUCCGGAAUUAUUGGGCGUAAAGGGCUCGCAGGCGGUUUCUUAAGUCUGAUGUGAAAGCCCCCGGCUCAACCGGGGAGGGUCAUUGGAAACUGGGGAACUUGAUUGCAGAAAAGGAAAGUGGAAUUCCACGUGUACCGGUGAAAUGCGUAGAGAUGUGGAGGAACACCAGUGGCGAAGGCGACUCUCUGGUCUGUAACUGACGCUGAGGAGCGAAAGCGUGGGGAGCGAACAGGAUUAGAUACCCUGGUAGUCCACGCCGUAAACAAUAAGUGCUAAGUGUUAGGGGGUUUCCGCCCCUUANUGCUGCAGCUAACGCAUUAAGCACUCCCCCUGGGGAGUACGGUCCCAAGACUGAAACUCAAAGGAAUUGACGGGGGCCCGCACAACCGGUGGAGCAGGGGGUUUAAUUCCAAGCAACCCGAAAAACUUUACCAGGUCUUGACAUCCUCUGACAAUCCUAAAGAUAGAAGGUCCCUUCUGGGGCAAAAUAGACAGGUAGUGCAUUGGGUUCAG